AGAUGAUUAGUGGCGGACGGGUGAGUAACAUUUAGGAAUCUACCUAGUAGUGGGGGAUAGCUCGGGGAAACUCGAAUUAAUACCGCAUACGACCUACGGGUGAAAGGGGGCGCAAGCUCUUGCUAUUAGAUGAGCCUAAAUCAGAUUAGCUAGUUGGUGGGGUAAAGGCCCACCAAGGCGACGAUCUGUAACUGGUCUGAGAGGAUGAUCAGUCACACCGGAACUGAGACACGGUCCGGACUCCUACGGGAGGCAGCAGUGGGGAAUAUUGGACAAUGGGGGCAACCCUGAUCCAGCCAUGCCGCGUGUGUGAAGAAGGCCUUUUGGUUGUAAAGCACUUUAAGCAGGGAGGAGAGGCUAAUGGUUAAUACCCAUUAGAUUAGACGUUACCUGCAGAAUAAGCACCGGCUAACUCUGUGCCAGCAGCCGCGGUAAUACAGAGGGUGCGAGCGUUAAUCGGAAUUACUGGGCGUAAAGCGAGUGUAGGUGGCUCAUUAAGUCACAUGUGAAAUCCCCGGGCUUAACCUGGGAACUGCAUGUGAUACUGGUGGUGCUAGAAUAUGUGAGAGGGAAGUAGAAUUCCAGGUGUAGCGGUGAAAUGCGUAGAGAUCUGGAGGAAUACCGAUGGCGAAGGCAGCUUCCUGGCAUAAUAUUGACACUGAGAUUCGAAAGCGUGGGUAGCAAACAGGAUUAGAUACCCUGGUAGUCCACGCCGUAAACGAUGUCUACUAGCCGUUGGGGUCCUUGAGACUUUAGUGGCGCAGUUAACGCGAUAAGUAGACCGCCUGGGGAGUACGGCCGCAAGGUUAAAACUCAAAUGAAUUGACGGGGGCCCGCACAAGCGGUGGAGCAUGUGGUUUAAUUCGAUGCAACGCGAAGAACCUUACCUGGUCUUGA
rnacentral:rRNA from 1 species